CCUCUACGUUGCGUGAGGGAAAAAUGGAAGGUUUCGGCUGCGAGUUCGACGAUUCUGUCUUUGAAUCGUUUCGAGAAAGGAAGGCGGCGUCCGGGAUAAAACUAGGAUCCUACACAGCGAAACUCUGCGAGCCUCGGUGGUUCUGGGGUGAAAUCUGCACAGCUGAUGAUGUGGAGAAGUUAACUGCACUGAAGUUUCGUGGUGAUCUGGCAUUCAAGCAUCAAGAUUAUCAGAAAGCAUUGUGUGAAUACUCCAGUAGUUUGAGCCUUGUUCCAGAGUCAAAUAUUGCGCUCAGAAGAGAUCUACAGGAGGCCCAAGCUCGAUGCCUGUGCCUUCUUGGCCGAUCUGAUGAUGCCUUGGAUAUAGCACAGAAACUGAGAUCCGAGAUAACCAAUACAGACCAUCUCACUACAGUUCUUAACCUGGAUAUUCUCAUCUAUCGGAAUGCUGGAAAUCUGUUUGAAGAGCUCAGCUGUUUACAACAAUUAAUUUCCAUGCACACACUGAAUCCAUGGUACUGGAAGAAGCUAGCUGAAUGUUACCUAGGUCAUGCGCAUGCCUUAUUGUCUGCAACAGUGUCAGUUGUCCCAGUCUGCAAGGAUGGACGCUGCCUUAAAAUGUUAGAAAAGUCAGCUAUGGAAACAGCAACAUCUGAAACCAAAGGUGACUGUGCACAACUUCAAUCAUUUAGCAGAAAUCCUUGUGGGCAAGUGGAUUGUAAAAGGCAAAUAAACCUCAUCAGGAAUGCAUCCAGGGUGGAGAAUUCUGGCCUAACUCUUAAAAGCCGUGUUGUCUCCUCUUGUUCAGCUGUUGGUGAUAGCACUGAAGUCGAUCUCAAAAGAGGACAGCAGUUGAGGGAUCUGUGGCUGUUUGCAUGUUCCUCCUUUGUAAGAGCGAGACUUCUGUUGCAGAUGGUGAAGGCACAACAGGCCUCUUUCGUCUUAGAGAGGAACCUGACUGUCCAAGAGGACAUCAGGCAGAAACUCAACAAUCUGGAGUUGAGAGAAGAGGCACUGAAUGCAAUAAGUAAGGUGAUGGCGGAGGACCUGCUGCUGGACAAGUUUAAAAAUGGUGCAGAGACUGAAAAGCCUGCAACAUUUCCCAGUUCGUCCUCACUUGACUGCGUUACCAUUGAGUCAGGCUCUGAGUUUGAGCAGAGGUGGUUUAAAAAGCUCCGAAAUGAAUCCUUCUUCUGUCCCAUAUGGAAGUGAAACAGGGCAAGAAGAUUUUGAACAGUAGAGGUCACCAGACACAUGCCUGAUUUCGAUAUUCUGAAAUACAAGAGAGGGAAAGAGGAUUUCGUAGAGAAAAGAUGAAUAAUUUCUACCACUGAGAAGGACAAGGACAGAAGAAUCAUGGGAACACACCACCUAUGUAUUUGCCUCCAAACCAUUGUGACUUUGGAGUAUAUCAAUGUUUCUUCACUGUUACUGGGUCAAAGUACUGGGACUUCUUUCCUAACAGCACUGUGGGUAUACUUAACCAACAUGGAGGGCAGCAUUUCAAGAAAGCAGUUCACCACCAUCUACAUGAAGAGAAUUAGAGAUGGGCAAUAAAUGCUGUCGCAGGAGAGCAGAGAAGUCUUCUCAGCAUCUCGGCCAAUAUUUAUCCCUCAAGCAAAAUGAGGAAAACAAAUUAGUUGCUGUGUUUCUUACAUUAAAACAGUGACCACACUUCAAAGAAAAACAUCAUCAGGUGCACAGUGCAUUGAGACAUUUUGUUCUUCUGAAACCUGUUAAUAAAUUAAAGAAUUGCUUUUUUCAUUA